rnacentral:rRNA from 1 species
AGCUACAAAGGGCGUACGGUGGAUGCCUAGGGUGAUGGAGGCGAUGAAGGACGUGCUAGGCUGCGAAAAGCCUCGGGGAGCUGCCAAGAAGCGUUGAUCCGGGGAUUUCCGAAUGGGGCAACCCGGCCAGUAGUAAUACUGGUCACCUGACUAUGUCAGGGGCGAACCCGGGGAAGUGAAACAUCUCAGUACCCGGAGGAAAAGAAAUCAACCGAGAUUCUCCUAGUAGCGGCGAGCGAACGGGGAGUAGCCCGUCUCUGUGUAGCCUACAUUAUAGUCGAAUUACCUGGAAAGGUAAGCCAUAGAAGGUGAUAGCCCUGUAGACGAAAUAGUGUAGGUGGGACUAGGCAGAGACCUUGCGAGUAGGUCGGGACACGUGUUAUCCUGACUGAAGAUGGGGGGACCACCCUCCAAGGCUAAAUACUACCAUCACACCGAUAGUGCACAAGUACCGUGAGGGAAAGGUGAAAAGAACCCCAGUGAGGGGAGUGAAAUAGAACCUGAAACCGUAUGCCUACAAUCAUUCGGAGCCCUAUGAGCUUCGGCUCAGGGUGACGGACUGCCUUUUGCAUAAUGAGCCUGCGAGUUGUGGUCAGUGGCGAGGUUAAGCACACGCGAAGCCGUAGCGAAAGCGAGUCUGAAUAGGGCGAUUGAGUCACUGGUUGCAGACCCGAAGCCGGGUGAUCUAUCCAUGGCCAGGCUGAAGUGGGGGUAAGACCCCAUGGAGGGCCGAACCAGUGGAGGUUGAAAACUCCUUGGAUGAGCUGUGGAUAGGGGUGAAAGGCCAAACAAACUCGGUGAUAGCUGGUUCUCUGCGAAAUAUAUUUAGGUAUAGCCUCAGGAAGUAGCUACAGGGGGUAGAGCACUGAUAGGGCUAGGGCUGCUCACCGCGGUACCAAACCCUGUCAAACUCCGAAUACCUGUAGUGGAAUCCUGGGAGUCAGGCGUAGGGUGAUAAAAUCCUAUGUCGAGAGGGGAACAACCCAGACUGCCGACUAAGGUCCCGAAGUUGUGACUAAGUGGAAAACGAUGUGGGGCUGCUUAGACAACCAGGAGGUUGGCUUAGAAGCAGCCAUCCUUUAAAGAAAGCGUAACAGCUCACUGGUCUAGCGGCCCUGCGCGGAAAAUAUAACGGGGCUAAGUCACACACCGAAGUCGCAGGUGCAUACUGGUGUAUGCGCGGUAGCAGAGCGUUCCAGUCAGCGUUGAAGCUGUACCGGUAAGGAGCAGUGGAGCGGCUGGAAGUGAGCAUGCAGGCAUGAGUAGCGAUAAAAGUGGUGAGAAUCCACUUCGCCGAAAACCCAAGGUUUCCUACGCGAUGCUCGUCAACGUAGGGUUAGUCGGGUCCUAAGCCGAGUCCGAGAGGGGUAGGCGAUGGGAAAUCGGUUAAUAUUCCGAUACCUACUUACUACAAGGCGAUGGAGGGACGCUUAGGGCUAGCCGGGGUCCGUGAUGGAAUACGGGCUCGAAGGGUGUAGGCUGCUAGGUAGGCAAAUCCGCCUAGCGUGAGGCCGAGACCUGACAGGCCCCCAAAGCCCUUCGGGGCGGCGGGGGAACCGGUAAUGCCGUCGAGCCGAGAAAAGCUUCUAAGCCGUUUAAGUAGUAAGUAGCCCGUACCGUAAACCGACACAGGUGGGUGAGAUGAGUAUUCUAAGGCGCGCGGAAGAACCCUGGUCAAGGAACUCUGCAAACUGGCACCGUAUCUUCGGUAUAAGGUGUGCCCGUAGUAGGUGAAGGCCCAUGCGGCUGGAGCCGAGGCGGGUCGCAGCGAAGCGCUCCAUCCGACUGUUUAUCAAAAACACAGCACUAUGCUAACUCGUAAGAGGAUGUAUAUGGUGUGACGCCUGCCCGGUGCCGGAAGGUUAAGGGGAUCGCUUAGCCCUUUUGGGCGAAGGCGUGAACCGAAGCCCCGGUAAACGGCGGCCGUAACUAUAACGGUCCUAAGGUAGCGAAAUUCCUUGUCGGUUAAAUACCGACCUGCAUGAAUGGCGUAACGAGAUGGGGGCUGUCUCGACCAGGGAUCCGGUGAAAUUGUAGUGGAGGUGAAAAUUCCUCCUACCCGCGGAAAGACGGAAAGACCCCGUGGACCUUUACUACAGCUUGGUACUGCCAUCGGGAUGAGGAUGUGCAGGAUAGGUGGGAGGCUGAGAAGCCAGGGCGCCAGCUCUGGUGGAGCCGUCCUUGAGAUACCACCCUUCCUCAUUCUGGUGGCUAACUCGCCACAGUUAUCCUGUGGGAGGACAAUGCCUGGCGGGUAGUUUGACUGGGGCGGUCGCCUCCUAAAGAGUAACGGAGGCUUACAAAGGUUGGCUCAAAGCGGUUGGAAAUCGCUUGGAGAGUAUAAAGGCAUAAGCCAGCCUGACUGUGAGAGAGACAACUCGAGCAGAGACGAAAGUCGGUCUUAGUGAUCCGGUGGUUCUGAGUGGAAGGGCCAUCGCUCAAAGGAUAAAAGGUACCCCGGGGAUAACAGGCUGAUCUCCCCCAAGAGCUCACAUCGACGGGGAGGUUUGGCACCUCGAUGUCGGCUCAUCAUCGCAUCCUGGGGCUGGAGCAGGUCCCAAGGGUAUGGCUGUUCGCCAUUUAAAGCGGUACGCGAGCUGGGUUCAGAACGUCGUGAGACAGUUCGGUCCCUAUCUUCCGUGGGCGUAGGAAGGCUGAGGAGAGCUGACCCUAGUACGAGAGGACCGGGUUGGACGUGCCACUGGUGUACCAGUUGUCCUGCCAAGGGCACCGCUGGGUAGCUAUGCACGGAACGGAUAACCGCUGAAGGCAUCUAAGCGGGAAGCCGACUCCAAGAUGAGCCUUCCCUGAAGGACGGUGGAAGACUACCACCUUGAUAGGCUGGGUGUGUAAGCGCAGCAAUGCGUUUAGCUGACCAGUACUAAUAGUCCGUUUGGCUUACACAUUUAAUUAUGC